UAAUUGGCUUUUUCUCGGAAAGCCACCUUCAUUUUGAAAAAAAUUACA
rfam:Microscilla marina ATCC 23134 1099589004134, whole genome shotgun sequence.